GGCUUCGUAGCUCAGAUGGUAGAGCACUUGCCACGUAGAGGCACAGUGUUUUUGUUGCUGGUUCGAAUCCAGCAGAAGUCC